ensembl:lncRNA
UAGGUACCUUGGUUGGCUAGUUAGUUAGGUACCUUGGUUGGCUUGUGUGUGUAAUAUACAUUAUUCUGGGAGUCUAGUGUGUGUAAUAUACAUUAUUCUGGGAGUCUAGUGUGUGUAAUAUAAAUUAUUCUGGGAGUCUAUUGUGUGUAAUAUACAUUAUUCUGGGAGUCUCAUGUGUGUAAUAUACAUUAUUCUGGGAGUCUAGUGUGUGUAAUAUACAUUAUUCUGGGAGUCUAGUGUGUGUAAUAUACAUUAUUCUGGGAGUCUAGUGUGUGUAAUAUACAUUAUUCUGGGAGUCUCGUGUGUGUGUAUGAACUAUGUGGAAUAUUUUUGGACCAUCGUCUUCCCUGAAAGCAGGUACUGACAGGAGGACGAGGCCCGUGACGAGAAUGAUGAUCCAGUGACAGUGUUUAAAAACCAUUUACAAUAAAUCUACAGUUCACUGUUGUAAAACCUAUUUACAAUAAAUCUACAGUUCACUGUUGUAAAACCUAUUUACAAUAAAU